rnacentral:rRNA from 1 species
CCUACGGGCGGCAGCAGUCGAGAAUCAUUCACAAUGGGGGAAACCCUGAUGGUGCGACGCCGCGUGGGGGAAUGAAGGUCUUCGGAUUGUAAACCUCUGUCAUGUGGGAGCAAAUUAAAAAGAUAGUACCACAAGAGGAAGAGACGGCUAACUCGGUGCCAGCAGCCGCGGUACUACAGAGGUCUCAAGCGUUGUUCGGAAUCACUGGGCGUAAAGCGUGCGUAGGCUGUUUCGUAAGUCGUGUGUGAAAGGCUGGGGCUCAACCCGCGAACGGCACAUGAUACUGCGAGACUAGAGUAAUGGAGGGGGAACCGGAAUUCUCGGUGUAGCAGUGAAAUGCGUAGAUAUCGAGAGGAACACUCGUGGCGAAGGCGGGUUCCUGGACAUUAACUGACGCUGAGGCACGAAGGCCAGGGGAGCGAAAGGGAUUAGAUACCCGUGUAGUC